rnacentral:lncRNA from 1 species
CGGAUGAUGACUGAGAGAGCCAGAGCACUGAGCUGCCAGGUGCUAGAGAAGCCAAUUAAGACAGCAGGUCCAAAUGAAGGAAUCAGUCAAGUCUUUAACCACUUACUGUCAAAGGAUAAGCAACAGGCUGAACUGGAGGAAGCACUGGCUCCCCCAUUCCAUAUUUUCCCCCAUGGAGUAACGCUAGUCUAGGACCAGCUGGACCGGCACAGAUCUGGGCGUUACCUCACUGCUGAGAGAGCCCCAAGAGAGAUAGGAAAAGUAAGAGGGGGAGAAGCUAGCGGCAGAAAACUACUAGGCACUAAGAGUGAAGAAAACGUGCCUUCCACGUCUCCCCUUCCCACACCCUCCAAUAAGGAGACUUUGGCAGAGGUGCCUAAGGAAGUCCUGCCUGAGAGUCCAUUCUCAUGCUGCUAUAAGAAAUACCUGAGAAAAAUAAGGAGAAAGAGAUUCAAUGGACUCACAGUUCCACAUGGCUGAGGAGGCCUCACAAUCAUGGCAGAAGGUGAAAGAGGAGCAAAGGCACAUCUUACAUGGAGGUUUGCCAAGACUUCUGGAGUUAAAGCUGCCUUCUUACAACAGCAAGUGGAUGACAUGAUCCUUACAGGGUCCCCUGUUGGAUUCAGAAAGCUUGUGAAACCACAUAAAAAGAGUCAUACUUGGUAUCCUUUCCUCUUUCAUUGACCCAUUCAUUUAUUCAUACGGGAAAUAUUUAUUAGGAUUUUGUUAUGUACCUUACAAGACAUAUGAAGAUAAAUUAAGCAAUGACUAGAAAUAGAAAGUCUCAAGUGUACUCUUCUUAGUACAAAAUUAGGUAGGACCCUUCUGAAGUGACUUCCAUGUAAAAUGGUGAAAAUCAUGGGAAAAGCAUUCUGGGCAGAAUAAAAUGAUCUGAGGCAAGGGUGAUCACUGGUUGGAUUGAAUUUUAGCAGGAACAGUGUAGUCCUACUAAAACAAACUAAAGAUACAUGCAAGCAAAAAGGGAUAUUUCUUUUGCAUUGUAAAAAAAUAAAAAUAAAGAAAACCCAAAAAACCCACUUGAAGUAUUAUGUUUAGUAGUCCACACACAAAGAAGCUGUCCCUGUUCUGCCUCUUCCCUUCUCUGGUAAAGGGGUACACUUCAUCUGCUAGAGGGAGUAGGAAAAUACCUUAGGACCUUGAAUGUGUCAGAAGGAGUAGUUACUGGUUUCAAAGUAUUCCACUAAUCUAGUAUAAAAGGUGCAAUGAAAUGGUACCUGAAGGAGAAAACUGCUAAAAGUAGAGUAAAAGGAAGAAACAAUCCAUUUACCCCUGAUGAAAUCAGAGAAAUUUGGUGAUUGGUGCUGCAGAUACAAUUAAGUAUGGAGCUCCAUUAGUGAGUGGAAGACAACAGUGAAAGACAAUUUGGCUAAAUGAAAUCCCUGAGAUUAUCAACAUCAUUCUAGAAGAGUUUGACUAUUUGGUGGGCAAUAAGCAGCCACAAUAAGUUUCUAUGAAUCAGGAAUAGAAAUCAGAAUUACUCUAUCCAGAAUGAGAGUUGCUAGCGAGAAGGAGAGGAAACAGAACUACUUAAGAGACAGUUGUCAAAGUGAGUUCAAGUUCAACUGGGAACAACUCAAGAGGCAAUAUUGC